UCAGGAACCAACAAGCAGCCUCCUCACUACAUAGGAGAAUUCUGGAAAGAGGAAAGGCUCUGUCUGCAGUCACGAGACAGAUGGAGAAGAAACAAGAUGAAAAUUCUGCACUGAGAAAAGGUACCAAGGACUCAAUGACUGCAGAACUGGACAGGACAGAAACUUCCGUAUAUAUUGUAUCAGGACUUAUUCACUGUCUCAGAUUAUACAGAAAGGUCAGAUAGUAGGCAUAGAGUAUGGUUACCAUUCCAAAUGAUUCUGAGCAGUCAGCUUGUAAGAAGAGGCUCUGACUCCAUCCCAUACAGUGCUGUAUAGUGACUUUAAUCACCAUUUAUCAAUAAAUUUCAUAGAAUAUGA